rnacentral:rRNA from 1 species
AUUGAACGCUGGCGGCAUGCCUUACACAUGCAAGUCGAACGGCAGCACGGGGCAACCUGGUGGCGAGUGGCGAACGGGUGAGUAAUGCAUCGGAACGUGCCAUUGAGUGGGGGAUAACGUAGCGAAAGUUGCGCUAAUACCGCAUAUUCUGUGAGCAGGAAAGCAGGGGACCGCAAGGCCUUGCGCUCUUUGAGCGGCCGAUGUCAGAUUAGCUAGUUGGUGAGGUAACGGCUUACCAAGGCGACGAUCUGUAGCGGGUCUGAGAGGAUGAUCCGCCACACUGGAACUGAGACACGGUCCAGACUCCUACGGGAGGCAGCAGUGGGGAAUUUUGGACAAUGGGCGCAAGCCUGAUCCAGCCAUUCCGCGUGCAGGAUGAAGGCCCUCGGGUUGUAAACUGCUUUUGUACGGAACGAAACGGUCCUGGUUAAUACCUGGGGCUAAUGACGGUACCGUAAGAAUAAGCACCGGCUAACUACGUGCCAGCAGCCGCGGUAAUC